UACGAAGGGGGCUAGCGUUGCUCGGAAUCACUGGGCGUAAAGCGCGCGUAGGCGGAUCGUUAAGUCGGGGGUGAAAUCCUGGAGCUCAACUCCAGAACUGCCUUUGAUACUGGCGAUCUUGAGUCCGGGAGAGGUGAGUGGAACUCCGAGUGUAGAGGUGAAAUUCGUAGAUAUUCGGAAGAACACCAGUGGCGAAGGCGGCUCACUGGCCCGGUACUGACGCUGAGGUGCGAAAGCGUGGGGAGCGAUCCGG
rnacentral:rRNA from 1 species